rnacentral:rRNA from 1 species
ACUCCUAGGGAGGCAGCAGUGAGGAAUAUUGGUCAAUGGACGGAAGUCUGAACCAGCCAAGUAGCGUGCAGGAUGACGGCCCUAUGGGUUGUAAACUGCUUUUGUAUGGGGAUAAAGUUAGGGACGUGUCCCUAUUUGCAGGUACCAUAUGAAUAAGGACCGGCUAAUUCCGUGCCAGCAGCCGCGGUAAUACGGAAGGUUCAGGCGUUAUCCGGAUUUAUUGGGUUUAAAGGGAGCGUAGGCUGGAGAUUAAGUGUGUUGUGAAAUGUAGACGCUCAACGUCUGACUUGCAGCGCAUACUGGUUUCCUUGAGUACGCACAACGUUGGCGGAAUUCGUCGUGUAGCGGUGAAAUGCUUAGAUAUGACGAAGAACUCCGAUUGCGAAGGCAGCUGACGGGAGCGCAACUGACGCUUAAGCUCGAAGGUGCGGGUAUCAAACAGGAUUAGAUACCCUGGUAGUCCGCACAGUAAACGAUGGAUGCCCGCUGUUGGUACCUGGUAUCAGCGGCUAAGCGAAAGCAUUAAGCAUCCCACCUGGGGAGUACGCCGGCAACGGUGAAACUCAAAGGAAUUGACGGGGGCCCGCACAAG